UAAACACGUCGUUUUCCCUCAGCGCUUCCUGAUGACGCGAUGCAACUAAUUACGAGUGUACGCGAACGCGUCAGGUAAAACCACGUGACACCGCGCUCUUCCCAUACGUCAGCGGGAUUGUAAACAAGAAGCAGCUCGGAAUCCGUGUUCAAAAAAAGCGCGAAACAGUGCGGCUCGACACAAAAUGGCGGAAAGGCGUGGAUUUGUGGUAACCGUCAAUAAUUGUGUGGACAAUCCAGCCGGCUAAAGCACACAUCACCGUACAUUAAAAAGAUGGUGAAGACAUUCCCAAACCAAGUUAGAUUGGCCGUCUCGGACAGGCCCUGAUCCACGUAGCCGAACUGCAAGUACUCCUUCCUGAAUACUGACCCACUCCACGAGUCUCUGAGGAAGAAGGUCUUCCACAAACUGCCUCAGGUGCUCCUUGGCUACAGCAUAAUGGAAAAACGUCACUUUGCCAUUGAUGACGCCGAGGAUGGACGGCGUGCGAUGGGCCCCCAGGUGAUUGGCCAGACGCCUCUCAUAGCUCACGUCCACCACGCCGAUUCCCACGCCUGCACAAACACACAUUCGCUCGUUUCCCCUCGCAGACCCACACCUGUGCUCAAGUCUUUGUUUGGAUUCCAAACCUAGCGUCUCCAUCUCCUGCACCACCUCCUUCCACACGGGCUCAAUGUGGAUGCAGUUGAAGCACCAGUCGGAGGUGAUCUUGAUCAGGUACGGCCUUCUGAAGCUGUCGGGCACCACGUCGCCCACGUACUGGUUGAAGUGCAGCAAGUACUUGUCGUCGGAAAAUUCCCGCUGGUUCCUGCUGUUGAAAGGGAAGUUGAAGAAGGACUCCUCGAAGUUGAAGUUGUCAUGGCGGUGAUUGUAGCGGCCGUACGGCUGCGUGUCAUCGGUCUGCCCGUAGCGGUCGUAGUUGGCACGUUUGUCCUCGCUGGAUAAAAGCUGAAACAUAAAACAUAACAAUAAGGGCAGCCAUUUUGUUUUGACAUUGACUUGAGUAUUUUGAAAUACAAAAAUGCUCCAAUUUUUUACUCUAUUCUCAGAAAACACUUGGCUUUUCAAGUACUGUACGACUAUAAUGACCAACAUCAAAUACAGUAGCAUAAUAGGCCUAAGUCAU